rnacentral:lncRNA from 1 species
AUCCUGUGAUCUUUUAAACCAUGAUUUAUGACGAGAUGUUCUGUCUUUAAACUGGAAAGACUGUCCAGGGAGAGUGAGAGCCUCACUGGCGAAAGCAGAAUAAUGAAAAGGCCCGGGGAAUCGGCAUGACAUAAGCGCCUUCCUCUCGAGGCGGAGGUCGGAAGACAGAAGGAGAGGAGGAAGGAGGAAGAGAGAGAGACGGGGCUCGAUAAGCGCCGCUAUCAGAACGCACCCAAACACAGCGUCCGGCUGUUCUCCCUUGUGCAGGCGGAGG